rnacentral:rRNA from 1 species
AGAAUCAACGCUGGCGGCGUGCCUAACACAUGCAAGUCGAACGAGAAAGUGGAGCAAUCCAUGAGUAAAGUGGCGCACGGGUGAGUAACACGUGACUAACCUACCCUCGAGUGGGGAAUAACCUCGGGAAACCGGGGCUAACACCGCAUAAUAUCUACGGAUCAAAUGCGUAAGCAGCUUGAGGAGGGGGUCGCGGCUGAUUAGCUAGUUGGCGGGGUAAUGGCCCACCAAGGCAGUGAUCAGUAGCCGGCCUGAGAGGGCGCACGGCCACACUGGAACUGAAACACGGUCCAGACUCCUACGGGAGGCAGCAGUGGGGAAUUUUGCGCAAUGGGGGAAACCCUGACGCAGCAACGCCGCGUGGAGGAUGACGCCCCUUGGGUGUAAACUCCUUUCGAUCGGGACGAUUAUGACGGUACCGGAAGAAGAAGCACCGGCUAACUCUGCGCCAGCAGCCGC